rnacentral:rRNA from 1 species
UGCCUACGGGGCGCAGCAGUAGGGAAUCUUCCACAAUGGACGAAAGUCUGAUGGAGCAACGCCGCGUGAGUGAAGAAGGGUUUCGGCUCGUAAAGCUCUGUUGGUAGUGAAGAAAGAUAGAGGUAGUAACUGGCCUUUAUUUGACGGUAAUUACUUAGAAAGUCACGGCUAACUACGUGCCAGCAGCCGCAGUAAUACGUAGGGGGCAAGCGUUGGCCGGAUUUAUUGGGCGUAAAGCGAG